rnacentral:rRNA from 1 species
AUGGACGACGUUGUCACCGACGCGCCGCCGCCGUCCCGCUUCUCCCCCGACGACCUCGACAACUUCGCCGCACCCCUGCCGCAGCCCACCCCCAUCCUCGUCGUCUCCCCAAACCCUAGCCCCGCCCCGCGGCUCCUCGUCGUCCUCAUCUCCCCCACCUCCCUCGCCCUCCUCCCCUCCCCGCCGCCUCCUCUCCACGCCUCCCUCCUCCUCCCAGACCUCCCCUUGAAGCAGUCCCGCGCGCCCAUCCGCGUCUACCUCCACCCCUCCUCCGGCGCCCUCCUCGCCGUCGCCCACGGCGCCAUCCCCGCCCACCGCACGCGCGCCGCCGCCAGGAGCCUCAUCUCCGGGCUCCAGCCGGAGGAGGUCCUGGUCCUGGACGCGGUCCGCAGCGGGGCGUACAGGGGCAGGCUCUCCGCGGACGAGCUGGUGGAGGGGAAGCUGGAGACCGGGGCGGCGCGGCGGCGGGGAGGCGUGGGCGCGGCCAAGGGCGUCGCGGCGCUGGCGCCUCCGGGGAGCGUGAUGGACGGGCUCGGCGCCGCCGUGAUGACGGAGUGCGAGAUCCGGGGGAAGGCCGCGAGCAUGGUGGUGACCUGGCCGGCGGCCGCCAGGCCCUCCGACUUCGGGGUCAUGCGGCGCGUGGCGGCGGAGCUCGGCGUCGAUCUGAAGGCCGCGGCCAGGGUCUCCGGCCGGGCCGGGUUGGGCGCGCUGUAUACUUAA